GAUGAACGCUGGCGGCGUGCCUAACACAUGCAAGUCGAGCGAUCUUCUUCGGAAGAGAGCGGCGGACGGGUGAGUAACGCGUGGGUAACCUGCCCUGUACACACGGAUAACAUACCGAAAGGUAUGCUAAUACGGGAUAAUAUGCUUUUAUCGCAUGGUAGAAGUAUCAAAGCUCCGGCGGUACAGGAUGGACCCGCGUCUGAUUAGCUAGUUGGUAAGGUAACGGCUUACCAAGGCGACGAUCAGUAGCCGACCUGAGAGGGUGAUCGGCCACAUUGGAACUGAGACACGGUCCAAACUCCUACGGGAGGCAGCAGUGGGGAAUAUUGCACAAUGGGCGAAAGCCUGAUGCAGCAACGCCGCGUGAGCGAUGAAGGCCUUCGGGUCGUAAAGCUCUGUCCUCAAGGAAGAUAAUGACGGUACUUGAGGAGGAAGCCCCGGCUAACUACGUGCCAGCAGCCGCGGUAA
rnacentral:rRNA from 1 species